rnacentral:rRNA from 1 species
AUUGAACGCUGGCGGCAGGCCUAACACAUGCAAGUCGAGCGGAGCGGCGGACGGGUGAGUAAUGCCCAGGUAUCUGCCUGGUCGUGGGGGAUACCGUAAGGAAACGGGCGCUAAUCCCGCAUCCUAUCCGAUUCGCCUAGGGCGGAUUAGGUAGUUGGUGGGGUAAAGGCAUACCAAGGCGACGACCCCUAACUGGUCUGAGAGGAUGAUCAGUCACACGGGAACUGAGACACGGUCCAGACUCCUAAGGAGGGAGGAAUUGGGGAAUAGUGGACAAGGGGCGAAAGCCUGAUCCAGCCAUGCAGCGUGUGGGAAGAAGGUCUUCGGGUGGUAAAGCACUUUAAGUGGGGAGGCGUUACCAACAGAAUAAGCACCGGCUAACUUCGUGCCAGCAGCCGCGGUAAUAC